UCUUUGCCUUCAUUUAUGACGAUCUUGAAUCAGUCAUACUCGUUCGCACUUCUGUUUCUAAAAAUGAAAUAAAAACAAAUUCUAAAGAACAGCAGAAUUUAAU